rnacentral:rRNA from 1 species
AGAAGCAAAGCCGCGAGGUAGAGCAAAUCUCAAAAAAACAUCUCAGUUCAGACUGCAGGCUGCAACUCGCCUGCACGAAGUCGGAAUUGCUAGUAAUCGUAGGUCAGCAUACUACGGUGAAUACGUUCCCGGGCCUUGUACACACCGCCCGUCACACCAUGAGAGUCGAUAACACCCGAAGCCUGUAGUCUAACCAUAAGGGGGACGCAGUCGAAGGUGGGAUUGAUAAUUAGGGUGAAGUCGUAACAAGGUAAC